rnacentral:rRNA from 1 species
GACGAACGCUGGCGGCGUGCUUAACACAUGCAAGUCGAACGGUAAGGCCCUUCGGGGUACACGAGUGGCGAACGGGUGAGUAACACGUGGGUGAUCUGCCCUGCACCUCGGGAUAAGCCUGGGAAACUGGGCCUAAUACCGGAUAGGACUCCUGGCUUCAUGGUUGGGGGUGGAAAGCUUUUGCGGUGUGGGAUGGGACCGCGGCCUAUCAGCUUGUUGGUGGGGUAAUGGCCUACCAGGGCGACGACGGGUAGCCGGCCUGAGAGGGUGACCGGUCACACUGGGACUGAGAUACGGCCCAGACUCCUACGGGAGGCAGCAGUGGGGAAUAUUGCACAAUGGGCGCAAGCCUGAUGCAGCGACGCCGCGUGAGGGAUGACGGCCUUCGGGUUGUAAACCUCUUUCAGCUAUGACGAAGCGCAAGUGACGGUAGUAGCAGAAGAAGGACCGGCCAACUACGUGCCAGCCGCCGCGGUAAGAC